rnacentral:rRNA from 1 species
UACGUAGGGUCCGAGCGUUGUCCGGAAUUAUUGGGCGUAAAGAGCUCGUAGGCGGCUGUCCACGUCGGAUGUGAAAGCUCGGGGCUCAACCUUGAGAGGCCAUUCGAUACGGGAUAGCUAGAGGUAGGUAGGGGAGAUCGGAAUUCCUGGUGUAGCGGUGAAAUGCGCAGAUAUCAGGAGGAACACCGAUGGCGAAGGCAGAUCUCUGGGCCUUACCUGACGCUGAGGAGCGAAAGCUGGGGGAGCGAACAGG